CCCAAUCAGGACACAGGACAGACAUGAGUGCCCCUGCUCAUCUCCUGGGACUCUUGUUGCUCUGGAUCCCAGGUUCCAGAUGUGACAUCCAGAUGAUCCAGUCUCCCUCUCAAACUGCAUCACUAGGAGACACAGUAACUAUCAAGUGUCAAGCCAGUCAGAACAUUAAUGAUGAAUUAAACUGGUAUCAGCAAAAACCAGGAAAAUCUCCUAAACUCCUAAUCUAUGCUGCAUCCAGAUUGUUUGCUGGAGUCCCAUCCAGGUUCAGUGGCAGUGGUUCUGGGAGAGAUUUUACCCUCACCAUCAGCAGUGUUGAGACAGAAGACAUUGCAACUUAUUACUGUAAACAGGAUUUAACUUACCCACCCACAGUAGAACAAAUCAUAACACAAAUCACACAAAUAUCAAACAGACCAGAGAAUCUUUAUUCAACAACUAAUUUAGCAGAUGCAGAGUCCCAACGCAUUAGGCAGAGCUGUGGUAGUCCUGUAGAGGAUGGAAAGAUCAGAGGAUCCAGAGAGUUUACUGGAUGA